rnacentral:rRNA from 1 species
UACGAAGGGGGCUAGCGUUGUUCGGAAUUACUGGGCGUAAAGCGCGCGUAGGCGGUGAUCUUUGUCAGAGGUGAAAGCCCGGGGCUCAACUCCGGAAUUGCCUUUGAAACGGGAUUGCUUGAGUCCGAGAGAGGAUGGCGGAAUUCCUAGUGUAGAGGUGAAAUUCGUAGAUAUUCGGAAGAACACCAGUGGCGAAGGCGACUCACUGGCCCGAUACUGACGCUGAGGCGCGAAAGCGUGGGGAGCAAACAGG